UACGGAGGGUGCAAGCGUUAUCCGGAUUCACUGGGUUUAAAGGGAGCGUAGGUGGGCUGGUAAGUCAGUGGUGAAAUCCCCCGAGCUUAACUUGGGAACUGCCGUUGAUACUAUCUGUCUUGAAUACCGUGGAGGUGAGCGGAAUAUGUCAUGUAGCGGUGAAAUGCUUAGAUAUGACAUAGAACACCAAUUGCGAAGGCAGCUCGCUACACGAAUAUUGACUCUGAGGCACGAAAGCGUGGGGAGCAAACAGG
rnacentral:rRNA from 1 species